rnacentral:rRNA from 1 species
AGUGAACGCUGGCGGUAGGCCUAACACAUGCAAGUCGAACGGCAGCACAGGAGAGCUUGCUCUCUGGGUGGCGAGUGGCGGACGGGUGAGGAAUACAUCGGAAUCUACUCUGUCGUGGGGGAUAACGUAGGGAAACUUACGCUAAUACCUCAUACGACCCACGGGUGAAAGCAGGGGACCUUCGGGCCUUGCGCGAUUGAAUGAGCCGAUGUCGGAUUAGCUAGUUGGCGGGGUAAAGGCCCACCAAGGCGACGAUCCGUAGCUGGUCUGAGAGGAUGAUCAGCCACACUGGAACUGAGAUACGGUCCAGACUCCUACGGGAGGCAGCAGUGGGGAAUAUUGGACAAUGGGCGCAAGCCUGAUCCAGCCAUACCGCGUGGGUGAAGAAGGCCUUCGGGUUGUAAAGCCCUUUUGUUGGGAAAGAAAUCCAGCUGGCUAAUACCCGGUUGGGAUGACGGUACCCAAAGAAUAAGCACCGGCUAACUUCGUGCCAGCCGCCGCCGUAA